GACAUAAUAUGCCCUCAUGUUACGGCCAUGAGAUUGAUAACUUGGUUAUCUUAUGUUU
rnacentral:tRNA from 1 species